CGAGUGCACACUACAGGAGAAAGGUAGAGAAUUGGGACGCACUGCAUAUCCUUCCAAAAUGACAGAACCAACUGUAUCCCACUCAGUAAAUACUCAGGUCAUGCAAUCACAUGAAAACUCUGAUAGUGACACGAGCCAACAAACAGAGUACAGCCUGCUGCAAGUGAACGGGGCAUGGAACAGACAGACUGGCGGACAGACUCAGAAGGAGGGACGGUUAUCAGCUGCUAAAAUAUGGCUCUGAUGAAACACAGGGGCCUGUUUGAGCUCCUGGAGACUAAAGGCAAGUACCUAUUGGACUCAAGUUUCCAAUCCCAUGACAAGAUCAGUGGCUGCUGUGACCUGGAAGAUGCUGCCUCUUCGUCCAUGCGGAUUGCCAUAGAAACCAUGCUAGAGGAGUUGGCUCCCAAUCUGUGGGAGGAUGACCUGGACAGACUGGUGGACUUUGGCCAUCUAGUCAGCCCUGAGCUAGAAAUGAAAGUGCUGCCUGCUCUGCUCCACGGGGAGGCGGUGAACAUUGACAUGUCCUUCAUGGUGUACGUGGCCCACCAGAAAGGGCUCCUGACAGGAGAGGAGAAGGCCCGGAUCAGCCACUGCAUGGUGGGUUUGGAGCUGCCUGUGUGGCACCAGGACUGCACUCUGGCCCUGGUGCAGAAGUCUCUGAGCGAACGACUGAAGCACUCUGCAGGGUCCCUGAGGAUGCCUCUUCCCACAGGACUGGGAUGUGCAGAAAUCUUCCAUGAAAUCAGUGAUGAAAUCCUGUGCCAGGCUUUCAAGAUCUGGUGUGAUGAACUUGGUUCUUCUUGA
rnacentral:lncRNA from 1 species